rnacentral:rRNA from 1 species
CCUACGGGUGGCAGCAGUGGGGAAUAUUGGGCAAUGGGCGCAAGCCUGACCCAGCAACGCCGCGUGAAGGAAGAAGGCUUUCGGGUUGUAAACUUCUUUUCUGAGGGACGAAGAAAGAGACGGUACCUCAGGAAUGAGCCACGGCUAACUACGUGCCAGGAGCCGCGGUGAUACGUAGGUGGCAAGCGUUAUCCGGAUUUAUUGGGUGUAAAGGGCGUGUAGGCGGGAAAGCAAGUCAGAUGUGAAAACUCAGGGCUCAACCCUGAGCCUGCAUUUGAAACUGUUUUUCUUGAGUGCAGGAGAGGCAGUCGGAAUUCCGAGUGUAGCGGUGAAAUGCGUAGAUAUAAGGAGGAACACCAGUGGCGAAGGCGGAUUGCUGGACAGUAACUGACGCUGAGGCGCGAAAGCGUGGGGAGCAAACAGGAUUAGAUACCCUUGUAGUC